AUCAUCUCACAGCUGGGAGAAGACAUUGUGUACCGCGGCAGGCUGAGCUCCGGAUGCAGCGUUGCCAUCAAGCGCUUCCGCCACCCCACCUUGCCCAACGCCCAGUUCAUGGAGGAGGCCAGAACUGUUGAGUUGUUGGGGACUGAUGGGCAAUCAAAGCUAUUUGGAUGCUGCUGUGAGAACGGUGAACAACUACUUGUUGCUGGGUUUAUGCCAAGGGGCACCAUUGCAGAGCAACUAUCCCGUUGUGUGUUUUCAGUUUUGUUCUUGACGUUUCUGUGUUCUAGAUAUUUAGAAUGAUUGCAGGUCAUAUCAUUCUAGUUUGGAAAGCCAAGUGUCUAGCAUUGAUCUGGUUAAAUUGAUGAAAGGGGCAUACCUUUGUUUGCAAGAUGGUACUGAAGAGGAACCCGACUUGAUGACAUUAGUGGCUGCUCUUGCAAACCUACAGAAAUAUCCAGCUGAGUCUUUAGAAUCAUGGACUGUCCAACUACCUGACAAUAAUCAUGCCAAGAAUGAUGGUACUCAACGGUUGAAAGUAGGUCUUGACUGUGCUCGAACGGCAGAGGAGAUUUCACCGAAGUGACCAACUGCGCAGUAUUAGAAAUGUACAUACUGAACAAGCCUUCUUCUGUUCUAGUGUGUCCCCCA